ACUCUUUCUCAGCAAAAAAAAAAAAAAAAGAAGGAGCUAAGGCAUAACAACAGGAGCCACCUCAGAAGGUUUUUAAAAUUUAUCUAAAUGGAAAAUUUUUUUAAAAAUUAUUUUAUUGAGGUCAUAUUGGUUUAUAACAUUGGGUAAUUUCAGGUGAACAUUAUUAUGUAUCAUUUUCUGUAUAGACUGCAUCGUGCUCACUGCCAGUAGUCUACUGUGAGGAUUAAAUGAGGCCAUGCAAGCAAAGCGGCCAGAACCAUGACCCUCAUGCUUGAAACAAGCCUUAGGUCACUCUAGUGCUUUAGAAAAUGUGUCCCGCGUUGCCCACUGCCUGUGUUAGGGGUCGUUGUUAUUUCAGGAGUUCUGUGCCCCACCUGCUCAGGUCCUAUCAUGUCUUGAGGCUAAGCCCACAGCCACCUUCCAAGGGUUCCCCUGCCCAGGGCAAGCCAACAGAAGCCACUAACCACAAACCUUGAAAUUCAAGACAAGCAGAGGUCCAGGCAUCUGUUCUCCACCUUAUUAACACUUCACUAGAGAAUAGUUUGAAUUGCUGCCCCCCUGGCUGUGUUGAGAAACCCCCUGGACUAUGAGCUGGGGAGGACAGGGAUUAGAUCCCCGCCCCCUCUGCCCUCUAAAUCCCCAGGGACUGGUAUACCUAUAGGCACACAUUUAAGGCUUAUUGAAUGCUUGGUUAUUACCUCAUCAUUUCUCAUUGCAGCAUGUUAACCUCUUUCUAAGAUCAAAGUAAUACAUGUGCCAUUUAGAAAGUCAAAGGAUUCCACAAAGUUGGCCACAAAAUAUAGUAGUUCGCUGUUUUCUUCUUCAUUUCCCCUCCCAGAAGCAACCAUUUCACCUCUUUUAGCUGAUUAUUUUGGUAUUUAACUGCUGUUUCUAUCUACUUAUUACUAAUGCUAGAUAUUUCAGUUCUGGCAUUCUCUAUUAAGUUCCCACUGUGAAAGUCUACACUACUCACCCAGUAUGGUUAUUUCAUAAUUUUGAUUACGUCAGUAUUCAGUGUUUACAUUAUUAUGCCUAUGUAAAUGCUAGUCACAGCUGAGCCAUGUUGUAAACUCUGAUUGCUUUUGCUUUCCCUGACAUCGUUCCCCCCAGGAGUUAAUAAUAGUCUUGUAUUUUUUCUCAUUUUUGUUGUUUGCUUGGUUUUCUAUGUACUUGUUAUGAAUUCAACCUCUAAGCCGUCACCAAGAGUCUAAAUUCCCCCUAAGACGUUCCGAGGCACCAGGUAUUCCAUUGAUUUCAUCACCCUGAAAAGCCUUCUCCCUGGGCACCUCUGACUGCUCCACUCAGGACUGGUUGGCCCCCUGCCUGGCACACAGCUCUCCCUUUGGGGUCUCCCUUCACCACUGUACCAGAGCUCCCCUUUACCACUCUUUGGGUUUGAAUCUCCCAUUUCUUGUUUCUCUUGUCUCCCCAUUUCUCCACUUUACUCCCCCAUUUUGGUAAAACGUGUCUUGCAGUAACUUACCAAGCAUGAUUAAAAACACUUCCAUUCUGUUCUCUGGUUUGGCUACUAUAACUACAUUUUUAAUUCCCAGAAUUUAGGCCCACAUAUUUCCAGAAUUGAAAAAGGCCUACUGAAUGCUUAGCACUUAACUAUAUUUCAACCAGCCCCUCCCUUCCUUCACCUCCAUUUCUAGAGGUUCCUUGUGCUGCUAAUUCAUUAUUCUCAGGUUUCUCCAUUGUCAAUUUUAAGAUUAGGUUUUUUUUUUAAAUUUACUUUCCAGUUUCUAAAGUUUGGUUGUUUCCUUUCCGAUGUUUUCCAUUCUGGUGGGUUUAAUUCUAGAUGGGAAGUCAUUUUGCUUCAAGAUUUUGAAGGCGUUAUUUGUUGCCUUCUAGUUUCCAGUGUUGCCUUUGGAAAGUCUGAAGCCAUUCUGAUUAUUGAUUCUUUGAUCUGACUUUUUUCCCCCCAGGUUUAUUGAGGUAUUAUUGACAUAUAACAUUGUGUAAGUUUAAAGUGUCUAACACAAUUUGAUAUACGUAUAUAUUGUGAAGUGAUUACCACAAUAGGGUUAGUUAAUAUAUCCAUCAACAGUUACCAUUUUUUUUUGUGUGUGGUGAGAACUUUUAAGAUCUACUCUCUUAGCAACUUUCAAGUAUACAACACAGUAUUGUUAACUAUAGUCACCAUGCUAUCCAUUACAUCCCCAGAAUUUAUUUAUCUGAUAACUGGAAGUUUGUACCCUUUGACCACCUUCAGCUAUUUUCCCAACCCCAGCCCCUGCCUCUGGCAACCACCAAUCUCCUCUGUCUUUCUAUGAGUUCAUUUUUUUAAGAUUCCACAUACAAGUGAGAUCAUAUAGUAUUUGUCUUUCUUUGUCUGACUUAUUUUGCUUAGCAUAAUGCCCUCAAGUUUCAUCCAUAUUGUGGCAAAUGGUAGGAUUUUCUUCUUUUUUUUUUUUUGGCUGAAUAAUAAUCCAUUAUAUAUAUAUAUACCAAAUUUCCUUUAUCCAUUCAUCCAUCAGCUGACACUUAGGUUAUUUCCAUGUCUUGGCUAUUGUGAAUAAUGCUGCAGUGAACAUGGGGGUGCAGAUAUCUCUUUGAGAUGACGAUUUCAUCUCCUUUGAAUAAAUACCCAGAAGUAGAAUUGCUGGAUCAUAUGGUAGUUCUGUUUUUAAUUUUUUUGAGGAACCUCCAUACUGUUUUCCAUAGCCGCUAUACCAAUUUACAUUUCCACCAACAGUGCACAAGUGUUCCCUUUGCUCCAUAUCCUCACCAGCACUUAUCGCUUGUCUUUUUAAUAACAACUAUUUUAACAGGUGUGUGGUGAUACCUCAUUGUGGUUUUGGUUUUCAUUUCCCUUAUGAUUAGUGAUGUUGACCAUCUUUUCAUGUUCCUGUUGCCCAUUUGUGUAUCUUCUUUGGUCAUCUGACUUUUCAACAUCUCUGGAAGCUCACAGAAUCCUUGGUGUUUUGAAAGUUCAUGCUAACGCUUGGUGUGGGCCCAUUGUGCUACACAGUUAGUGGGCUUAUUUAACUCUGGAAACUUAUGUCCUUAAAUUCUGAGAAUUAACAUAUAUGUAUACUUAAAUGCACACACACACUAACACACACAUAUAUUUCACGGAUGUGGUAGCCAGCCUCCAAGAUGAUCCCAGUGAUCCUUGCCUCCUGCUGGUGAUAGCCUUAUACAGUCCACUCUCAUUAUUGGAUCAGGGUUGGUCUCUGUGACCAAUAGCAUACAGCAGAAGUGAUAGUAAUUCACUUCUGAGAUUGGAAUAUAAAAGACACUGUGAUUUCUGCUUGGUCGUGCUUUCUCUUUCUCUUGGAUUACUUGUUUUCAGGGAAGCCAGCUGGCUACCAUGUGAAGCAGCCCUAUAGGGAUGUCCAUGUGAAAAGGAACUAGGCCUGCUGCUGACAGGCAGCUAGCAACUGAGACUUCUGCCAAUAGCCAUGUGAGUGGGUCACUUUGGAAGAAAUUCUCAGCCCCAGUCCAGCCUUCAGAUGAGACUGCAGCCCCUGCUGACAGCUUGACUGCAACUUUGUGGGAAACCCUGAACCAGAACUACCCAACUAAGCUGCUCCCAGAUUCCUGACCCUCAGAAACUGGAGAAGAAAUCUCCAGUCUUUUGCCGGAUUGGGAUCUUGGCAAUCUUGCUGCAUGAAGCAGGGAAGCGGAGCUGGGAACUGACCACUUCUUGAACUGAAUUUCAUCCGGUCCUGCGUCUUCACCUUCAUUUCUAGAGGUGACUUCAUUUCUGCUCGGGUGCUGCUCAUCCGUGAUUCUCAGCUUUCUCCACUGUUGGCUUAAGACUUCGUUGUGUUUUUUUCAUCUACGUUCACCUUCUACAAUUUUGUUUUUUUCUCACCUGUUCUCUCCAUUCUGGGAGAUAGAAGUCCUAAAAGAAAACAAAACAAAGCAAAACACCCUUAUAGUUGUUUUAGCAGGAUUUCCUGGAAAAGAGAAAAACAGAUCUGUAUAACCAACCCUCUUUACGUCAGCGCUUCAUGCCUUGCCUGCCUCUACCUCUCUCUGGGACCUUCUGUGACUCAUUUGGCCUCUUGCUCAUCAAGACAAUAAAGGGGACAUUGGCUAUCUCACGGUCACUGUGGUUCUGAGGUCACAGUCUAUGAAUAACUACAGUGAGAACAUUAGUAGGUCAAUUCCAAAUUAUCAAAACAUCCUUACUUAUUGCAAAGCUGCUGUUUUGUUCCUGAAGACAUGUCAGUGACCUUUAACUGCAGACUUUGACUUCAGACCUGAGUGUCAAGAUUUAAGAGGAGGAAUUUACAUACACACACCUUGAAGGUCUGAAUGUGUGUAUAUAACACAGUGCCUGUGGGUUUAUAUGCAUAUAUGUGCACAUAUACACAUCUCAAAAAUGAGCCUCUUUGCCAAACAAAACCCACCUUUGGACUGUGGGUGGAUUGAGAAGCAUGAAAAAUGUUUAGCCUAAAGUAUGUUUAAAUAUUCAUGACGUCUUCAAAGCAAAGCUGUUGAGAAGACUAAGCCACCUGGAACACAGCUGUGAUGGUACAAGGAGGCAUCUUGAAAAAUCAGUCUCAUGCAGGGCUGGGAAGAAUACUCAGAGGUGACCUAGCCCAGCCUCUUGCUGCCCACUGUAAUAAAAACUACUUUGGAUAUGUCAUGCCCAUUAUUAGCACGAUCAGAUUAAUAUUUAGAAAGUGUAGUACUAUUUGCCACCUUGAAGAUAAUUAUAUUUGGGGUUAUACAACGUAUUUGGGGUAACAAAUUCCCUUUAUUUACUACCUAUCCUUCCUCAUCUGAUAUGGUUUUAGAGAUGGCAAUUAUGUGGCCACUCAUCACGACUCUCCCUCUUGUACCCAUGGCAGACAUUACUAAUCAGUCAUGCCCCUCAUUCUCUCUAGGCCCAGAUGUGAGGUCUCAGAAUCCUUUCCACACAGUACUCCUUGCAGCCACCAGCAGUUGAUUGAGGAUGGGGUGGGGUGGCAGGCACACCAGAUGAAACAUAUAAGCCAUUUCUGGUUAGGUCUUUUAUCGCCAUUCUCAGUUAAAUGUGCUCCAGUUCACAUGACUUUACCCAGAACUCAUCUAGGCAUGGUCCAUCUAGAACAGACUAGGAUAGGAUUUUGGCUUUGGGGGCCUAGAAUCUAGUGAUUUUGUUUUUGUUUUUGGUAUCUCACGUCCCAUGAUUGUCUGAGUUUUAUUUAAAUUCCAAGGGUUUAAGUGCUGGUGCAGUUGGUUUCUUGAACUGAAUAGCAUACUCUAUCCUAUUGCAUGUCAUGGUAUUUUUAUUCUAAACCAGGGGCCAGCAAACCAUGACCCCAGGGCAAGUUCAGCCCACCAUCCAUUUUUGUAAAUAAAGUUUUCUUGGAGCACAGCCACACCCAUCAGUUUAUGUACUAUUGUCCGUGACUGCUUUUGCACUAAAAGGGCAGAGUGGAGUAGUGGUGACAGAGACUGUCUGGCCCUCAAAGCUGAAAAUAUUUACUAUCUCGCCCUUCACAGAAAAAGUUUCCUGACCUGGUUCUAAAUGAUCAUUCAGGCUUCUUUUGGCUCUCAACUAUGACCCAAUGUUUUCUCCAUGGUAUAUUCAAUUCUACUAACCCACUUCAUUAUACUUUCAUCCAGCCCCCUUUUCUCCAUUACACUCAGAGGCGCUCCUGAGCAAUGGUAAGUGCCCUGUUGCCAUUCUGAUAUGCUAAUAACACGCACUGCUAUUUGUUGAGCACUUACGCGGUCCGGACAGUGCUAAGCCAUCUACAUAAAUUAAGUGAACAAAAGUAAGCACAUGGCUUGGCAUAGUGCCUGGCAUAAAGUAGGUAGGUGCUCAAUUAUUAUUUUUAAUUUUUACAACAGCCCUAUGAAAGAGCAAGUAUUAUUAAACAAGGAGUUUAAGUAACUUAUUUACUCAGGGUAGCCAAGUUGGUAAGUGCCACAACUAGAUUCCAACUCAGUUUGGACUGAUUCCAAAACUUGUGACCUCUUCAUUAAACCUUGUUGUCUGUUUCUACUACAUUUUCCUGACUUACCAGUCUAGUAAUCUGUCAAGCAAUUAGAAUAAUGGGCAUUAUAUAUAUUAUGUGUAAUAUAUAUAUUAAUGUGUGUAUGUGUGUGGUGUAGUGUAUUAUCUCAGAUCCUCCUAAAAACAUGCAGCUUAGAUAUUGUUCCCAUUUUACAGAUGAAGAAAACGAGGCCAAGAGAAUGUCAUACAGAUAGUAAGCUGUGUUGGUACAAUUCUAAGUUGUUAUGAUUCAAAAAGCUUUAUACCACACUGCUAUGAUUCACAGCCAUGAUAUAAGGCUGAGCUGAAUUCAUUCAGCAGUUUCUACAAUCAUAUUUAUGGGGUACCCACCCUAUACCAGGUAUUGUGCUCAAUCCAUGAUAUGUUUUUUCUAUAGUGAAUUGCCUUUCUAAGUGCUUAGAAACUGUCUAAUUGUCUGAUGUUUGUUUUUAAUUUAGGAUACUUGGUAACAGAUGUUUGGGGUUGCAUUCUCAACUCUUCCAAAAAAAUUGAAAUCUAAGAUGUUGUUUUGUACCUCAAUUUCCCCAUCUGUGAAAUGAGAAAGAACAUACCUGUUUUUACAUCUUCCAAUUUUUUAAGUUUAUGAGAUUUCAAACGAGAGUUUGCAUCGAACAAAGAUUGCAAAGUGAAAGGCUGUGGGUAGGAUCUAAUCUGCAGUUGUCCUUUUUGGCUUACGCAGUGAAUUGUAAGGAAUUGAUUUAAUUAAAAAAUUUGAAAUUGA